rnacentral:tRNA from 1 species
GGUCUCUUGGUGAAAUGGAUCAUCACGACGGUCUUCGGAACCGUAAUUCUGGGUUCGAGUCCCAGGGGGACCGCCA